GGCUGGUCCAGUGGUAGUGGGUUAUCCGAACUUACUAAUAUUAGUGUAACGAAAGUUGGUAUACAACCCCUACCGCUGAAUUUGACUGGCUUUAA
ensembl:misc_RNA Y_RNA Y RNA